UGUAAGCGUAUACCAAAGUUGUUGCAGUUAAAACGCUCGUAGUCGGAAUUUGGCAGUUCCGGAUGUGUGCACGUCGUGUGCGCACUUCGCGGGGAUUGCUUUUGUGGUCUUGCGUAGGAUGAGGCACUUUUAUUAGUGAACGUCCUCACGCAACCACUUUUUACUGUGAGAAAAUCAGAGUGCUCAAAGCAGGCAUUUGCCGUGAAUGUAUUAGCAUGGAAUAAUAGAAUAGGACUUGGUUCUAUUUUGUUGGUUUGUUGGGACUGAGUAAUGAUUAAGAGGGACAGUUGGGGGCAUUUGUAUUUAGGUGCUAGAGGUGAAAUUCUUAGAUUACCGAAAGACAAACUGCUGCGAAAGCGUCUGCCAAGGAUGUUUUCAUUGA
rnacentral:rRNA from 1 species